ensembl:snRNA RNU7-67P RNA, U7 small nuclear 67 pseudogene
UAGUGUUACAGCUCUUUUAGAAUUUGUCUAGCAGGUUUCCCAGUAUUCACCGGAAAGCUCCA